GUAAAAAGGAGGGAAGAGAGGGGGGUAUUUUACAUAUUGAGGCCAUGUUGGAUUUGCAGGCGUGGUUGUAGUCGGCGCUGCUGUGGUGGUUGGCGGAGCAGGAGGAAAGGGG